GGGCAUACCUUUCUCGGCCUUUUGGCUAAGAUCAAGUGUAGUAUCUGUUCUUAUCAGUUUAAUAUCUGAUACGUGGGCCAUUGGCUCACAUGAUAUUAAAUUUAUUUUUUAAAGGGGAGAGUCCAUCACAGUAGCUUGCUACUGGGGCCCUCGAGCGUCGCUCAAGCGAUGCACUAUAGCUUGGGCCUGGCGCACUCCACCCAAUUUUAGUUCUAGAAUUUUUGUUUUUCUUGGAGGGUGAAGUUAUUAGCGAGUUCUUAACAAUGAAUUAGCUCCGAAAAGGUUCCGCUCUUGUUUUUGAGUUCUAGGUAUGGUUCUUUAAAGUUCUACAAAUUAAUGGUUUCGCGCAUUUCAGCUCAAGCAUCCUGGUAAUCAGAAUAAACUAUGAACUCUUUAUUAGCAAUCUGAAGUUAAUAUGAACCUCCAACUUCAAAACUCAAAUCUAGAAGCUUGAUAAUUGUUGAAGUGGAUGAUGCUAUCAUAGUAAGCAUCAGGGUUUGCCAGGAGGUAGGCUUCAAUGGCCUUGAACAUUCCCCAAUGCUUUUUCUUUGCCUAUCUCGAUCCCCUCUUCCUUGAGCUCAAAAUCACCUAUGGUGUAAUACUUGCUACUAGUCUUGCAUAUAGAUCCCCCAUUCGGAGAGGCCUCUAAUUUCGUCUCUUAAGUGAUUUUCUCAAGCUUGAUCAUCAAUGCAUUACCUUCAAUGACACUGUAAAUAUACAAAGAAGUUUCUUCGUCUACUGCUUCAACCUUCUGCUUCAUGUAUUUGUUUGACUUCCUGCAUGAAGAAAAUGUGGAAUAUCAACAUCAGCUUGCUAGAAAAAGUAUUUUGCUAAUAGGGUAAUAUCACUUGCCAAGGGUUAUGAGUUUAUAUAAAACUAUCCUACAUUGCUUAAAAAAAUAAUUAUAGUGGCACCUUAGGUUUAUGUAAAGAUCUAUGUUGUAAAUAUUUAUUUGCACUAAACUAAAUAUUGAAUUUUCCAUUUGAUUUUUAAA